GGCAGUUAUUUCAUGUCAAAACUGUAUCUUAUCCUGACUUGUACUGAAAGAAUCAACAUACCUUUAAUUGCAUAUUAGAGCGUACUGGUUCCCGGAAAGUUGAUAGUACAAAAACAGGAACUUCUGAUCUGAACAACAGGCCAAAUGUGCCCUCCUAUUAGAAUUUCCUAUACUUCUUUAUUAUUCAAGUAAAACUUUCAACAAGGGUUUUACAGUAAUCCCAAGUCCCCAAGCUUUCAUCUGAUACAAAAACUACCCAAAUAUUCCC
rnacentral:lncRNA from 1 species